CGCGGGCGGACUAGGGACCCGGAAGUUGCGCUUCUUUCCAGCCGGCUGACCGUUUGCAGAUGCCUCGGUUGGGAGGCUGCUUUCGGGUGACGUCGGACAGGUCACCCGGGCCUCGGUGCUGGUCGGGGCUCCAGGGUCCCAGGCCCGGCAGCGCCGCCCCCGUCCACACAGCCUGCUGUCUGCCUACACAUUCCAUCGCGGAGCCUGGCCUGGUGGGCCCCCGGUCCCCCCACCCUCCUGGCCACUCUGAGAAGCUGCACCGUCCUUGGAGCUGUGGGGGGCAGGUGCCCCCAGAAGGUCGACGUCUUCAAGAACCAGGAGCGUUUCCUCCUCGCCCGUCUUGGUCCUCCAGCUGCACCUGCAGCGCGGGUGCUGUGUGCCCGCAUCCCGGAGCCAGCCCCCAGCGGCAAGGAGGGCGAGACCCUGCUGAGGACAUCCUGGCACUUCUGGGUCCAACUGUCCGUGGAGAGCGAUCAGGAGGGAGCUGAAUAUUCGCCAGGACGGAACUAACGGCAUGACAGGGAUUGAGAGCCUCUUGGCACAAAAUGGACAAACAGUUGUUCAAAGAGCAGUUGUCAUCAAACACCUGGACCGCUCUCCAUCGUGGACCCCUCAGGUGGCCAGAGAGCACGAGGGGACGUGGGGACUGAGACGGUGUGGUGAUGGAGAGACGGACGCCAGUGCUCCCACAGGACCUUCGGGGGGCAGGCAGCACAGCCAGCGGCUCCCCAGCCCUUCAGCUGCGUUUCUCUUCCUCCCUGGACUCGCCACGGCGUCUGUGCUCCCUCCUCCUGCCAUUUAGACCAGCGCCUGCAGGCUGGGGCUUGGGGCCACACUGAGCUGCACUCCCUGAGGACGGCCGGUCUUACCCCUGGCUCUUAGACAACUGGGCUCUGUUGGAUGCCUGUCUCCCCUGCUAAAAUCCAGAAGAACUGGAGACAAUGCCCUCCAUGCAGCUGAGACUUGCCGGCUUCCUUAUCAGCCUCUCAGCCCUGGAGCAGCUAGCCAGGGUCGACACAUCAGCGUAGGUCGAUUGGAGUUGGAUUACAAAUGGUACUCGUCUGAGAGAGGAGGUGGUGGACUCUGUAUCUGAAGGCAUACCCUGCAGACAAGGAUGGGCCCAGAAGCAAGCACGCCCACCGAGUGCUCAGUCCUCAGUCAGGAAACAGAGUGAGUUUACACUCGCAGCAGCCCUCCUCAAUGCCGUUUCCACACUUCUGACCUUCUCCUGCCUCAGAAGUGAGCCCUAGUUUCCGUGUAGCUUCACCUUGCUCUUCUCCUAUUAGAGUGAAGCCGAGCUUCUGUUCGUGUAUUAAGCGAAAUGCACACUGAGCUGUACCCUCAAUGGUGGUUAAGACAGUGAAUUAUGUGUUUCUCACCACAAUUUAAAAAGCUGUUUCCAUUCUAUUUCACAAAUGAAACAUUCGUAUUCUACCCGCUUGGCAGUCAGUGUGUUUGCCUUCAUUCUAACAGGUUUCAGCGGAUUCUUCUGGGUUCCUAAGUAGACACUCGUAUUUCCUGUGAAUAAGGGUAGCGUCGCCUUGCCUUCAGUCACACCGAGGACCAGAGGCGUCCCGUCCUUUCGUCCACUCCCCGGGACUCGGUCACUCUCCUCACCGCUGGCCCCCUGGUGUGGUGUCAUGGGCCGCCGUUCUUUCCCAGCUGGCGCUCGUGGUAGAGAACCUGCCGGCCACUGCAGGAGCCGUGAGAGGCCUUGGCUCGAUCCCUGGCUUGGGAAGGUCCCCUGGAGGCGGGCAUGGCAACCGGCUCCAGUGUGCUUGCCUGGAGAGCCCCAUGGACAG
ensembl:lncRNA